rnacentral:rRNA from 4 species
UCCGUAGGUGAACCUGCGGAGGGAUC